GACGAACGCUGGCGGCGUGCUUAACACAUGCAAGUCGAACGGAAAGGCCCUGCUUUUGUGGGGUGCUCGAGUGGCGAACGGGUGAGUAACACGUGAGUAACCUGCCCUUGACUUUGGGAUAACUUCAGGAAACUGGGGCUAAUACCGGAUAGGAGCUCCUGCUGCAUGGUGGGGGUUGGAAAGUUUCGGCGGUUGGGGAUGGACUCGCGGCUUAUCAGCUUGUUGGUGGGGUAGUGGCUUACCAAGGCUUUGACGGGUAGCCGGCCUGAGAGGGUGACCGGCCACAUUGGGACUGAGAUACGGCCCAGACUCCUACGGGAGGCAGCAGUGGGGAAUAUUGCACAAUGGGCGGAAGCCUGAUGCAGCAACGCCGCGUGCGGGAUGACGGCCUUCGGGUCGUAAACCGCUUUCGCCUGUGACGAAGCGUGAGUGACGGUAAUGGGUGAAGAAGCACCGGCUAACUACGUG
rnacentral:rRNA from 1 species